GAUGAACGCUAGCUACAGGCUUAACACAUGCAAGUCGAGGGGCAUCGGGAAAGUAGCUUGCUACUUUUGCCGGCGACCGGCGGAUGGGUGAGUAACGCGUACCCAACCUGCCCCCUUCCCGGGCACAGCCCUUGGAAACGAGGAUUAACGCCCGAUGGCGUCGGAUUGCCGCAUGGCAUUCCGACCAAAUGCGAAGGAAGGGGAUGGGGGUGCGUCCCAUUAGCUUGUUGGCGGGGUAACGGCCCACCAAGGCAUCGAUGGGUAGGGGUUCUGAGAGGAAGGUCCCCCACACUGGAACUGAGACACGGUCCAG
rnacentral:rRNA from 1 species